GAGGAUAUAGCUCAGUGCUAGAGUGCAUGCUUAGUAUGCACCAGGUCCUGGGUUCAAUCCCCGGUACUUCU
rnacentral:tRNA from 1 species